CCACCCUGUCCGGGUCCGCGAGCAAGUCGACGCCGAUGCUCUUACCCGCCGGCCCGUAGUUGAAGUUCCACGAGAUCUGCAGCGGGCCGCGCCCGUAGUAAUUCUUCCCCGGGACGCACGGCCACUGCUUGUUGUUGGAGUCGCAGAAGCUGUUCGCCCUGUUGAUCUCGCUGAUGUAGCAAAAAUCUGUUCGUCACGUACAUGUAUGCACGCAAAGAAAACAUCAAGGCAUCAGAUCCUGCAAUUUAAUCGAGCAAGAUGUAGGCAGCGGCGGUUUUGUCGUCAGCUUACAUCCGGUCUCGAACGUGACGUGCGCGAAGAAGGCGGCGACCUCGCGCUUGCCGUCGGCCUCCGAUCCGCCGUGCGCGAAGCCUGGGAAUGAGUCCGCCGCGGUCAGGAACGCGCCCCGCGUGUAGAAGUUCUUGCCCUCGCACCCGUUCCCGGCCUGGUUCUUGAUGCCGUUGAAGAACGCCUCGGAGACGACGCUGGACACGGACGCGACGCCGCUCCCCAAGCAUGGGCCGGCGGCGCAGAGGAGUGCUAGCCCAAGAGCCAAGGCCGUCAGGGUCAUCGUCGUCUGCCGUGAUGAAUUUCCCAUACUGGAUGUCAGCGGACUCAGCUCUUUCGGUUGCUCAGGUUAUGAGGUUGUCAUGGACUCAUGGCGGCAUGCUGUUGGAGUUUAUAAAGAGGCCGGCCGGCGUGCAUCUUAUUACUUGUGCUGAGACUACUGCUCCACAGUUUGAACUUGUGGUGGCUCACUGGCUCGUCAAUCAGCACGUACGCAACGCCUAGCCUAGAGAGGGAGGCAAAAAUACCACGUAUCUGCAACUGAAGUUGAGACCACGUCAAUAUCACCGCCGCGUACGUGACUAAAGUGGCCACAAUUUUCGCGUCUACGAAGACAAUUUCCGUCAUCUGGUGGCCGCCGCUCGCAGCCGUAUUUUGCUGUAUUCCAUGCAUGCGUCGUGCAUGUGAGGAUGUGUCAGUGGCUUGCGUGUUCCACGCUCUAACAAAAAGGGUCAAUCCGGCAAGGAGGACUUCCAACACGUCGGUGCCGGUGGCGGCUGCUUCUGUUUUCCUUUUUCCUUUUGAAUUAAAUCUAUAUGGAUGGAUCUUUGAUUUUCUUUGAAAUGCAUUACCACAUCGUAUGCCGUUACUGGCACUGAUACUAUAUGUAUCACUGUCCCAGCAAAACCGGCACAGAUAAUCAACAACGGAACAUCUUAGGGUGUGUUUGGUUGCAUGCACCACAUGAUGCAUGCAUGGAUGAUCCUGGAUGGGGUGGUUCAACCAAUUUGCUUGUACCAUAUGGUUCACUCUAAUUAGUAGAAUAAUGUAUUAAGUGGGAUGGCCUCAUCCUGGAUGAGUUGGUCCAAUUCACCCAACCAAACAAAAAGAUCAUUAUUAUUUUGAAUCAUUUCAUACAUGAAUCAAAUGAUACAACCAACCAAACACACCCUUAGUGAGGGGUUGAGCCCCGUUUGGACUUUGGACGGGUUUAGGAAGAGGCAAAUUUGCCUGAAAUAAUCUAGCCUGAGAAACGAACAGACUUCUAAGAUUGUUGUCAAUGAAGAUGGCUGCUUAGCUUGGACCAAAUACAUUAUAGUCUUCAACUUUAUUCCAGUGGCUCUGAGAGCUUCAAGCUGCCGGGCUGGCGGGCGCCCCAUGUGGAAGCUAGCUACUGAAGGAUAUAGGUCAACUGUGUACACCUAUCUUUUCUCGUGAAGUUAGUCUUUAUGAUCAAUUCUCAAUGAGCUUUAUGAUAUCAGAGUCAAAGCUUUCAAGUUAUAGUCGUAGCCAGCGUAACCCAACGAACAUAUUUUCAGCUGUUCCUUUUAGUUAGUAAGAGUGCAUUUUUUUUAGGACGAGUAAGAGUGCAAAUGGACAAUUGAGAGAGUCACACACCAUCAUGGGCUUGCUUGUUUUUUUGUUAUCUUUUUCUUGGGCCUUGAGCCCAGCAGUCGUUGGAUUCAAAGACUAUUGGGCUCUAUUCAAAACUCCACCGGCUUCCGCUCCUCAUCACCCCGCGGCACCAAGAUCUAUCUUGCCAGCCACCUACACGUCACUACCGGAUGCACCAAAUCUUUGACUUGUCAACGGUGCAUUAAGUGCAUGACUAUCUACUGCAAGAUCAAUGCCAGCCACAUGCAACGAGCACGACGCAACCUCUAUUGUAAAGUAUGCCUAGGUGAUGGCCAUGUUUAAUGGCCUGCUACCGUCAGAGGUGAUUGCAGGGUUUACAACCCUCUGUCCCUCUUCAACCUUGAAGAUCAAGCCAUCGAGGUGAUGGACAAUGCCGUGAUGAACCUAGUUAGAGAUGGUGUUGUGGAGGUACAUGGUGAGGCGUUCCCAGCAGCCAACAACGAGUGGAAGAGUGUCAUGCGAUGCUAUGGAGAGAUGCUAUAAAGUGGUAGAAUUAGCAGUGGCAAGAGAUGUGCUAGAGUGGCAUGGCACAAUAGCGAAGAGGCCUCGAUUGCUGAUAUUAGGUCGAGGCCAGCACUAUGCUGUGGCAGCAAAGAGAUUGUGUGCUGUUAUAGGUCCAGGAGUCAUGGAGUUAUUGGGUUCUUGUGGUGCAAGACAUAUCUUUUAGAUGUUGUUGCUUUGUAUCUUGUUGCUCUAUUAUACUUUUAAGUCUAAGCUGCUUCUUUUUAAUAUAAUUAUAAGAGACCAAGUUAAGAUGUGCCUUAGUCUAUUUGUGAUGAGUGAUUGGCUGGAUGAUUUGAGACUUUACCGGUUGAGUCAAUAUUUCAUAUGUGCAUGUUUAUGCUAAUGGCUAACUUGGUUUAUGAUGUGCAGGUGUAGGAUGUGACAUGGCGGUCGACAGCAUGAGAUGAAGGUCAAGCGAAAGGUUCAUGCCGAUGUAUUAGGGGUGUGAAUGGUGGACACGAGUAGGCUUAGAUCGAGGGACCCGAGGAAUCUGGGCAGAGUCAUGAACGAUCGACAUGGUGCACGGAAGAGCAAGAGUACACGGGAUGGAGACGGCGUCAAUCGAGUCAAGCGGGAUGGAGGCGAGUCGAGUAGGCGGCCCGGGAGCGGGAGCGAAAGACUUGGAGGUGUCGAAAGCUUGGCGGAGACGGACACACGUCGACAUCGAUGAGUCACGCCUUGCGGGGCAUGCAAGAGGGUUUAACUGGUUUGGUCUCAAAACCGGGGCUGAGUCACGCACCAUCACGAAGCUUGCGUUGAGACGAAGCGAAGUCGUGAAGGCGUCGGGUCCGUUUGAUGUUCCGACAAAAAGUUUUUGACAGUUUUACACCUAUGGGGUAUUUGGAUUGUAUGCUCCAUGUAAAUGUAUUUUGGUUAUUUGCCAAAUGCGUACACACACGGGUUGGACAGGUACACAUCUCAGGAGGUUGUUUGGGGUGGGCUUAUCAUUUUGUUGGUGAGAGUCAUUGGGUGAGGGAGAGGAAGAGAGAUGAAGGAUCUUUGAUUUGAUCUUUUUACCAUCUUAACUUUAAUUGUGUUUAAGAGUGGCUUGUAAUCGAACGUGGUGGAAUAAUCUAAAGAUUAAUUUCGUGCCAUCUUGUUCCAUCCCUUUAACCUAAAAUUUAUCUUUUUUGGAUUUUUCGGAGGUAUUUUGAGAAUUUUUGUUUUCACAAUUUGCUCUAAACCAUGUAAAAUUUGUUGGAUGAUUUUGUUGCUAGGAUCCUUAUGAGCAACUUUGGUACGAUCUCCUCUUAAAUUUCUCACGGAUUCGGCGUGAAUCUAAAGUUUUCCUCGUACCGUGUUCUUUGUAAGGCGUUCGGAUUUCUCCAAAAUCUGCAAUGAAUACUUGAGAUUUUCAAUAUCUUUUUCCUUAGAUCUAUUAGCUCUUGAGGAGGUGCUUUUAUGGCUCAAGUUUCGUUUCGGAUCGUUGUGCAUUGAGAGAGGACUUUUCGUUUGAAGGUUGGGUCUUUUGCGUGUGUUCUUGGUGUGGUUCUUUUCUGUUCUUGGGCAGCAGCGCUUUGGGGGAGGCGAGGUCGUCGUGCGGGCGCCCGACCGGCGCUGAGCAGCCUCACGCGAGCUGCACGCGCGCCAGGCCGGCUCAGGCGCAGCAAGCAGCAGCCGAAGGCCCGACGCAGCCUGGCUCGUGGCGCCAGGAGCCCAGCAGGCCGAGCAGACUGCACCGGGCCAGCCCAGUGGCGAGGCCACCCACGCAGGCACGCUCCCGGACCAGCGGCCUGGCACAGCUAGCAGGCGGGCAGCAGCACGCCCAGCGGAGCAGAGGCCUGUCCCUCGAGGUGAGCAGCGUGCGUGGCCUGGCAGGCCGACCCACCGAGAGCAGGUGAAGCUACAGCGACGACAGCAGAUCGUUCAGGUAGACAGCAGGUAAGCUUCUGCUACUCGGCUCUUCUAGUCUUCUGUGCAGUAAGGAGCAGGUUCUCGUUUUCUUGGGGGAAUUAAAGUUUAGUCCCUUUCUUUUUUUUAAGUUUUUUUUAACCUCUUUUAAUCCAUAAACUUUCAAACAUAAAGAUUAAAUGGAGAACUAAAAUGAUUAGUCCUCUAGUCCCUUAGAGGGUGACUAAACGAGACUAAACGACACCCCUGCACUUCAUUAUUAAUCAAGAAGAUUAAGUGGAUGCAAAUUUUGUGUAUUGAUUAAAAGUUAAUCGUUUUUAGUCCCCAGAUCCAAAUAGGGACUAAAGUCCCUCGAAACAGGCACAUAUGUGAAUGCUUCGGGCUGCAGGAGAAAUGAUUAGGCAAUCUUGAUUAAUUAGUUUAUUACUUAAGCAUUGUUCGCUUUGGCCGACAAUAGUAGUACUACUGUAGUAUGCAUGCACAGUUAGUUCAAUUCUCGGUACAGGUUCUUCUUGUAACAAUGAUCUACUUAUGGUUAUUAGGGCGUGCUUGCUUUCCAGCCAAGGGAAGCCACGCCACAAGACUAUGGUGCCGAUUCUGGGCGCCACAUCAGGCACACUACAUUGGUGUGUUAUCCCAUAGCGGGGAACUAAUCAGCCCCUUAUUCCUUGAGUAAAUUUAGUAGUUCAUGUGUUUUGUGAUUUUCGGUUAGUACUUGAAUUAAUUAUUUUUGCAUGCUUAGUGAGUGAGGCUUUAAUAGUGACUUGGCUUAUUUCCUUGUGCAAGAUUUUUGGUGCCUUGAUUUGCGUUUGCUUCCGCUACGCUUUGAGCGUUUCUAAUUGUUCCUAGGGUAAUCUUGUCACGAGUUGACUUGUGUCAUCUUGAUGAUUGAAGCGAGGUGUGUUUGGGGUGGCAAUCGAAAUAUAAACUUUGUUUUCGAAGAGAAUUUUUAAAGGUUACUAUUCACCCUCUAGUCGUCCGUCCCCGAUCCUUCAAAUUGACUUCUCUUAUGUCCAAUUUGUUUAAAGAAGAAGUGGUUACCGAGUUCAUCUAAAAGAAUCCGAAUCAGCUGUUGGAGUGAGCCAUACACUCUUCUCAUGACACGCAUUUUAUCCCAUAAUAAAAAAGCACGGGAAAAGGAAGCUGGAACUGUAGGGGUACUUGCCAAGUGUUCGCGGCAUUUCGCACAUCUCAAACGCUUCGUUAUUUAUUAGGUCGGAUUACGCAGAGCCCUGCAUUUUAUUGUUGCUACUUGCUAUUGCUACUAGUACGCAAGCACUGCGAUUCACUCCCGGCGCCAGUACAAGUAUGCGAUCGAGUAUCAUUUAUUCUCCACGUACGACAACACCCCUAGCAGGUGAGGUUGUUCCCCGGGUCGACGGCGAACUGCUUGCAGUACUGCUUGUAGUACCGCACCCGCGCGUUCAUCUGCGCGGUGUUCUUGCCGUUACACUCGAGGUCGCCGUUGAUGGCCCUGGUCGUGGCGCCGAACCCCUGCGGCAUCACCCGGUGCACGUUGUUCAUCCAGUACCAGAGCGCCGCCUUGAACGCGACCACGGGGUCCUGCGCCACCUUGUCCGGGUUCCUGAGCCCGUCGAAGCCGAUGCUCUUCCCCGCCGGCCCGUAGUUGUAGUUCCACGAGAGCUGCAGCGGCCCGCGCCCGUAGUACUUCUUCCCCGAGACGCACGGCCACUGCUUGUAUUUCGGGUCGCGGUCGCAGUAGAUGUUGCUCUUGUUGAUCUCGCUGAUGUAGCAGAGGUCUGUUUGUUCGACGACGUCAUACAAAGAAACACACACACAAUCAAGCCAUGCAAACUGUGAAUGAUAAUACUACUUUGUAGUCACAAAAAAAUGCAAUGUAAUUAGACUCACUGCUGGUCUCGUGCGUGACGUGCGCGAAGAAGGCGGCGAUCUCGCGCUUGCCCUGGGUCUGGGAGCCGCCGUGCGCGAAGCCCGGGUGCGACUUGACGGCGUUCAGGAACGCGCUCCGCGUGUAGAAGUUCUUGCCCUCGCACGAGCUCGGGGCCUGGUUCUUGAUGCCGUUGAAGAACGAGUCGGUGACGACGCUGGCCACGUUCUGCGCGGCUGCCAGGCCGGCGGCGCAGAGGAGCGCCAGCCCGAGAGCUAGGAUCCUCGACGUUGCUGAGCUCGCCAUACUGGAUCACACAACGAUCAGUUCCUGAGUAGGUUUCCUUACUGCGGUGGACCUUCUUGCUGUGAGGUGAGUUGGGGUGGUGUCCUUGGUGCCGUUUAAUCGUUUAUAUAGGGAGCACGGCUCUUGUCGCUGUACUAUGCUGUAUGUGAUUCAAACUUGACGGGCUUGACUAGCAGCUAAGUCGGUCCAGCAUUGUACUGGCACUACUGUUCCACAUUAUGAAAUUGUGGCACAUGUCUAAACUCGUACUCUCGUUUCAGAAACUGCGACGACUGCGGGCUAGCUGCAACGCAUGUUAAGAUUUGUGAUUUGGUCCAUUUGGAUAGCGGCCGUAUACUUUUGACUACUUGGUGGAAAUCUGGUGAGUGCUACCGGGACACGUCUUUCAUUUCUUUUGUUUUUUCUCAUUCGCGUAGACAUUGCGAUCAUCCGGCAGCUGUAUUGUGUUGAACCAGUACGCAUCAGGCAUGUGCAAACUUAUUGUUGUGAUAAUUAGUAGUACCAUAAAGGAAGAACAUAAGUUUUUUUUUAAACACAGUAUAGACGCACUGGUGGAAGUUUAUCGAUGCAAUGCACCAGUCUGGUGGUUGCUUUGGCUGGAUAUACGAAGUACCUAGGCGUCAUCUGGACCCUUUGCAUUGCAAGCCCUUUCGUACCUUUGGUAAGGGUGUGUUUCGAUGAUAAAUGAUAACCGUUUACUUGUAACUAAUUCUUGUGUUUUGAAGCGAAUCAUAAUUGGUUAUCAUGUUAUGAGUUUAUUGCAAUGUGGCCCCUCAAUUUGAAUCGGAAAGCGGACACGGAGCUAAUGCGAUAAGGCUAAAGAUCUUCUGGUACUAAGUGUCACAAGGAGACGAAUGAUGCUUAGUCUAGUAUAGGGUUUACUAGUUUUUAACUCUUGGACCGUACUACUAAAAGGGGUUUCUUUGAUAGUAGCUUGAUAUUGUGAAGCUAUCCAUGAAAAAAAUGCACACUCAGUACUCUCUAGCACUUGGUACCUCAAACAACUCAUGGAAGAACUUAAGAAGCGAAGAAAUCAACGAAAAAACUUAAAAGGAGCUUGCAUUGGAUGAGUUGAAAGCAAAAUGGUACCAUCGGAUGAUCCGAUGCCCUAAUUCCUAGAUGCGUCGAAUCAAUUCUCAGUGAAGAAAAAUUGAAGCCUGGUACCGGUUGUUCCGACGCUUGAGCAUCGGACGAAUUUUCCUAGGCACCGGAUGAUCCGAUGCUAUGCCAGAGGGACUGUCGGAGCAAGCAAUUUACUUUGCAAACUUCUAGAGAGGUUUUGGGAAAAUUGGGUUCAGCACCGGAUGAUCCGAUGCCUGUUGAAGCAAUGCAUUGGACGAAGCAUAUUUUCUUUGAAAUCGUCCAGAGAGGUUUUGACCAAAUAUGCUUCAGCACCGGAUGAUCCGACGCCUUCGCAGGGACCAUCGGAGCAACCAUCGCAUGAACUUUUCACUGUUACUUUUGUAAUGGUCAUAUUUUUGGACGCUGGAUGUUCCGACGCCCCUGGGAGGAAUGGACCAUCGGAACAUUCGAUGGUGGACUUUUCUGGGUAAACUUUUCUAACGGCUAGCUGGUGUUACCUAGCCUAUAUAUACCCCUUCCCCGGGUCAUUUGAGCUGCUCUUGACACUCUGGAGACUUCAAGCAGCCCAUGAGCAGUUGAGAGUGUGCUAGAGCCAAAGAGUGAUUUAUGAUUUGCUAAAUAUUAAGAUUAAGGACUUCUCUUAGUGUUGGAGAGUGACAAGUGUGCAUCUAGUUCAUGGCUUAGCUGACCGGUGAAGCAUUGAAGCUUGUUACUCUUGGUGGUUGUUGACGGCAGUUAGCGCGCCAAUUUAUGAACCGCAAGCGCACGGAUCAUCGUAGCUUUUCCCUUAGAGUAUUCCAUCCAACAUUUAUCAAUAAACUGACUAGGGUUUUCCAUCUAAUCUAACGGAUCUAAUCCUAACAUGAAGCAUAGAUUGAAUAUGAAGGGUAACAUUAAUAGAUAUGAAUGAGAGAUCAAAGAUUGAUCACAUCCACAUAUAUAAAUAAGAUAACAAUAUUAGGAGUAAUAAGGGCAUAUCAUCUUCUAGUUGCAGUUCCAACCAAAGCAAUAACCAAUGUAUCUCGUACCUUCAUAAAGAGUCAUUUCUCAGAAAGGCGGCUCGUAAGCGGCCUACUUUCUUGUGGUCACCACUGCGAGGUGCGUGUUGAUGCCUCCGAUUUCCCAAAGCUGUACCCCAAUGACUCCCACAAUAAUUGCCAUCGAUCCUACUCAAUAUUAUGUAAUCAUUUAGCCUUUUCCCUACCCUCAUGCUGUCACCACACGAAGGUAAACACACCAACUUCCUACGCAUUACUAAGAUGUAUCCGCAAGACAUAGACUAAUCACCAUGAUUACAUCUAUUCCUACUAACAAUAUAUGUUAGCUAAACAUAUGAGAAUAAGCAUACAUCAUAGUACAUCAAAGUAAGCACAAGAUUAGAUUGAUAUCACCAUUGUGUGUACAUAAGCCUUGGUGAUCACAAGGCUCGGCUCCAGAACUCCACCAUGGUUUCGCCGUGCAGGGACGACCAUGGCACCUAGGGUCUAGCCUAAACCAUCUCCUAGGAAACUUCGAGGACUUGUAGUGGCCUCAGCUCCCUCUGGUGAGCGUCUUUGAUUUUGUUGAGUUCUGGUGGAUUGAUCUCUUGUGUCGAUGAAUUUUGGCCAUAUUUAUAGUCUGGAAGACGCGUGGCUGAAAUAGGAAGACGAGGGGAGCAAGGAAAGCCCCAAGUCAAUCGGCCUGGGGAGUCCAGACCAAUCGCCUGGCCCUUCUUUUAUCCCCUCACGCCCAACUUCGUCGCCAAGUCUCCUCUGAUGUUUUGGAAGCUUAUUUUUUAUGCAUGUGGGCCUGGCACGUCGAUAGCUUCGGGAUGAGAUUGAUCUUUGAUAACUUUCCAAAUCUCCAUUUGAUCUUCUUUAAUUCCUCUUUAAUCCCGAAGUGAUACUUGUCAUAUCUUCACAAUCUUAGCCCUUAAGUAAUCUUGGAGGAGUGCUUGCAAAAAAUGAGCGUCGGAGGGGGCUAGAAGACCCGUGGCCGAUCGGCUUGGGCUUCACCAGGCCGAUCGGCAUGGGCUCUUUCUGAGCCUGCUGGCCUUCGUUUUUUACAGGUUCGUUGCUUGUUCAAGGCUUUAUCCUAAAAUAUACUUUUAGGUACAAUAUUCUGCAAAAAUAGAAUGCGCUCCAAAAUACAAUGCAUAUACGAAAAUGGGGUUAUUUCAGGUGCCAAGUGAUGUGUUAGUAUAAUAAUAGAUACGAAAAUACCACUUAAAUGGCACCAAAAGUGUGUCAAUAACGAGCGUCAACAGUGGUUGACGUCACCUAGAUGGUCUUGGUGAUCCAGAGGUUCUUGGUGAGCUCUUGGAGAUUGUGGGAGUCCCAAGAAGAAGAUCUGGUACACGGUUUGAAGCUCGCCGUUCCGGAGAUGGAGAAUGAGCAUUUUUAGUGAAGCACUCGAAUCUUAGUGGCUUGGGGGAGCAAAACUCUUAGUAGGUGCUCCAACAUGAAUUAGAGGGAGCGUCAACUCCUUAAUACCAUGGGAGAAAAAUUUGGUGUUCUCGUGUCCUCACUCUUUACAUUUUCGCACUUAAUUUGAGCAUUUACAUCCUUUCUUUUGCUCUUAUUCAAGUUGUGCUUACUUUGCUCAUAUCUUGCUUUAGGAAAUGAUGAUCAUGUUAGUGUGCUCUACUUGCUAGGCUCCUUGAUUGCUGUGCUUAGUUUCUAGGCUAGAAAUCUAGACUAAGAUUUGUUUUUGUUGUUCUAGAAAUUUGAAAAAGUCCCAAUUUAACCCCUUCUUGGCCACUGAUCCUUACAAUAUAUAUUUACAAAACCACACGUCUUGAUAUGUUUUUGGAGGACUUGGUUUAUCAGAAACCAAAUUAUGCAGAUCCUAAAGAUUCAAUUGAACAUUCAGUCCACUUCUUGUUCAUUUUAAAACCACGUGGUUGUGAAAGAAACUGUCGCCAAAAGCAUUCAAAUGAUGAUGCUAAUUCAUAACAACGAUGGAUUGUGCCGAAACUAAGAAUAAUCAAGAUAAUGUUUUUAGAAUUCUACUACGGAUCUCGCCCUGUCCUUGCAUUGCAUCAGACCAGAAAGAAUUAAUGUUCAGAGUCUACUUCAUCAGUUUAGCCCGCUCUGGCUCAAUCUAGUCAGUUUCACAGAACACGUUUUACACGGCACACUUCGGUCAUUCAAAUGUUUGAGCCAAAUAGGCAAUCUGCAUAUUACAAACUGCUUCAUUAUAUAUUCUAUUCGUCAGGUCGAAUAAGCUUCCUUAUUCAGUUCGAAUACACAGGUCCACCCCUGCGUUUUAUUAUCACUACUACUUUACGAGUGCGCGACGCACAGCGCUCAAGCAUGCAUGAACCCGACACGGCGACACCGCCUCUAGCAGGUAAGGUUGUUCCCCGGGUCGACGCCGAGCUGCUUGCAGUACUGCCUGUAGUAGCGCACCCGGGCGUUCAUCUGGUCGGGGUUCCUCCCGUUGCACUCGAGGGCGCCGUUGAUGGCCCUGAUCGUGGCGCCGAACCCCUGCGGCAUCACUUGGUGCACGUUGUUCAUCCAGAACCAGAGCGCCGUCUUGAACGCGAUCACGGGGUCCUGCGCCACCCUGUCCGGGUUGCCGAGCCCGUCGAAGCCGAUGUCCCUCCCGGCAGGCCCGUAGUUGUAGUUCCACGAGAUCUGCAGCGGGCCGCGCCCGUAGUACUUCUUCCCCGGGACGCACGGCCACUGCCUGUUGUUGGCGUCGCAGUAGGCGUCGUUCUUGUUGAUCUCGCUGAUGUAGCAGAAAUCUGUCAGCAAGAAGACAUGCAAAUUAGUUUCCACUAGUCCAUCAACCCGUACUCCCGCACGGGCUAAUGUUUUUAUAAGCUAUUGGAUUUGAAAAUUAUUUAAAAAUUAAACUCUUAGCUAAUAAUCAAAAUUGUUUACCUAUUACUCUCUUAUUUUUCCAAUACUUCAACAUAAUACUUUUAUAGAUAUGUAUCUAUCUUUGUCCAGUUGUGAUUGAUUUUUAAUUAAUAAUUAUUCUAUGCACUUUUUCAUUCAUAUUCAUACUUUUUCCAUUUUGUAUCGCACCUCCAAUCCUCUAUACAUUAUGUUUAGCAUACAAAACAAUAUUUUUCAUCGAUUCCGCACAUACAUGUAUACAUGGUCUAAUGGUGGCACUCAUCAUGUGUAUAUACUUUAAUGUAGUAUUUUUAUGUUAACAAUGACACAAAUAGGUAAUUUAGAAUCAUAUAUUAGUUUACCUUUUGACAUUUCUAUAUGAUGCACAUGAAGAUAAUUAGAUUAAGAUUUAGGUAUUUACUUUAGGUUAUUUUUAAUAACGACAUACGUGGGUAACAUAGAUAAAAUUUUAGAAUGACAUUUUAAGUUAUGCUUUAUAAUGAUGUGCAUUAGUAAAUUGGAUGAAGAUUACGGGGUUACUUUAGAUUAUGUUUUAUAAUAGCUGAGCUCGGUAAUUUAAAUAUAGGUUUAGAGCUCAUUUUUGAAUAUUUUCACGAUGACAGUGGUGGAUAACUUUUUAGAAAAUAUAAUAAAUCAAUGGCUAUGAUUAUUAGAGUUUACAGGAUUGGUGUUUGAUAUUUUUAAUUUUUAUGAGAAUCUCUCUUUUUUCUUGCUUGUCUCAUGGGAACUAAUGCGGAGUCUCCAAUGAAAAAAAAUGAGAUUACAUUGCUACAAAACUAUUACCAUAAGUUACCUCUCAUUUGUUAAAUAUUCGAACACAAUACUUAUGUAGAUAUUAUACUUAAUAUCUUCAUCCGAUUGUGAUAGAUUUCAGUUAGUAAUUACUCUAUAAUAUUUUCAUCCACAUUUUUAAUCUUUAACUUUCCACUUUGGACCGCAUGUAUGGGCUUGAAUUUGUUUAAUGAACCCUAAGUUUGAGUGCUCAUAAAUUUAAUAGAACUAUCCAUAAUGCUAAAUAUAAUUUUAGCAUAGAAAUGUAUAUUCCCAUCACUUUAUAUCCUUAUAAAUGGUGACACACAUCACACAUCAUGUGUAUAGACCUUAAUUAUUAUAUCGUAUACCAACAGUGUAAAAUAUAGACGAUUUAGAAUCAUAUAUUGUUGUAUAUUUUUAAUUAAGGUUAUUUGAUUCAAACGUAGGGUUACCUCAUGUUAUUUUUAAUAAUAGCAUGUGUGGGUAUUAAGUUUUUUAAAGUAAUAGUGGUAGGCAAUUCAGUUGCAAAUUAGGGUUUAUAAUGGCAUAAGUGGGUAAUUUGAUGAAGAUUAGUGGGUUACCUUAGUUUAUUUUAUAUAAUGGCAGAGGUGGGUAAUUUAUAUAUAGAUUUGGGGGUUAGGCUAUUUUCAUAAUGGCAUAGGUGGGUAAUUUUUUAGAAAACAUAAUAGAUCCAAUGGCUAUGAUGAUUUGAAUCUGUCGAUUGAUGGUCGGAUGUUUUGCUUUUUUGUGAGAAUUUCUAGGAUUUCUCUCUUUUUCUAGAGUGUCUACCUAGGAAUCCUAGGUGGCUUCAUCUAGAGGCUUCAAAAGGAGCCUCCAAUUAGUAAUAGUAAGAUAAGAUACUCCAAUUAGUAAUAGUAAGAUAAGAUACUGCUCAGCAAUUCAGCACGGCAUGUGUAUGUUUUCACAAAUACCGUGGAAGAAAGAUUAGACUCUGCAUUCGUUCGACUAGAAAUAAAUACGGUGGAAGAAAG
rnacentral:lncRNA from 1 species